GACGAACGCUGGCGGCGUGCUUAACACAUGCAAGUCGAACGGGAAGGCCCUGCUUUUGUGGGGUGCUCGAGUGGCGAACGGGUGAGUAACACGUGAGUAACCUGCCCUUGACUUUGGGAUAACUUCAGGAAACUGGGGCUAAUACCGGAUAGGAGCUCCUGCUGCAUGGUGGGGGUUGGAAAGUUUCGGCGGUUGGGGAUGGACUCGCGGCUUAUCAGCUUGUUGGUGGGGUAGUGGCUUACCAAGGCUUUGACGGGUAGCCGGCCUGAGAGGGUGACCGGCCACAUUGGGACUGAGAUACGGCCCAGACUCCUACGGGAGGCAGCAGUGGGGAAUAUUGCACAAUGGGCGGAAGCCUGAUGCAGCAACGCCGCGUGCGGGAUGACGGCCUUCGGGUUGUAAACCGCUUUCGCCUGUGACGAAGCGUGAGUGACGGUAAUGGGUAAAGAAGCACCAGCUAACUACGUG
rnacentral:rRNA from 1 species